UUUGUGUGUGUGUGUGUGUGCGCUAACGCGCACGCACCCCUCCCCCCCACACACACACGAGAAAAGGAAGAAAUCACAAGGUAUUCAGGAAAAAAACAGCGGAAACGUAUUUGUGCAACAGAAAAGCAAGCCACUUUGUGAGUAUAAUAAAGGGGUAGCUGUGAAUCGAGAAGAUUGCCUCACACGCCGAACAACUGGGACCAGAGCAUCGAGCACCGACUGUAUAUAUAGAUGGCAAGCCAUCGCAACAGAAUGACAGUUCCCUUCCUCGCCGUUGUCGUGUUGUUUGCUGCGCACACGAUGCCUAAAUGUGCUGCCGUGAAAGGAGACUACAGCGAUGAGGGAUACACUGACUGGGGACCUCAAAGCGACAACGAGUGCGAAAGAUGCCAUCAGCUCGGCUACUGUUGCUUGAGCUUCGACGGGAUGAUUACAUGUCGUCCAUUGGCUCAGAUUGGUCAGCGCUGCUCCAACAAGAGAGAUUCUCGCUAUCCCGACGCAUACCUUCAGCAUUGCCCAUGCGCGUACCGAUUUAGGUGCAUACACAAAGGCGAAUCACUCAGCAUCUGCCAAGCUCCGUAAGGAAGACGUAAAUAAAUUUCGGUCUUUCUCAAGGGUGUCUGACUUCAUGCUGUAUUGAUAAUAAAGAUUUUCUUAAGAUGCG